UCUUAACAUAUUUAUCUGAUGGAGAAGAUGGCAUUAUGGCAGCUGCUGUUGCUUUCUUCGUAAAUUUCACAAGUUAAUUCUGCUAUUGUGGUUUGGAGACUCACAUGCUCUUGUAGCUCUGUAUAAUUGGACAUCUUGUAGUUCUGUAUAAUGAAGCCAAUGGUUCUUCAAGCCAUUAGGGGAUGACGACUGAGUGAUUACUUUAGCCGUUUGUUUUCAGUUAUUUCAAUUUUGCCAAGCAAAUCAUUUGCUCAAGUGAU
rnacentral:lncRNA from 1 species